GGGAAGGUGGCUCAGUGGUAGAGCACUUGCCUUGCAUGCAUGA
rnacentral:tRNA from 1 species